GUCAUUUGAGCUAGAUAAAGGAAACAGGAACUUUGUCGAAAAGGUACACUUCUUUCCUUCAUUUCCAUCAUUCGAGAUAGAUAAACUUACAUCAAGUUUAGCCAGCUCCUUUCCUCUCCUCUCCUUUGGGUUGGGUGUUCUCCGCAAGCGGUGAGAGGGAGAGGCUGCGGAGGGACAGGGGAACGCGGCGGGCUUGACAUCUGCUUCCGACUUCCUGAAAGAAAACUCUGGCCGCUAGAAGACGUGAGCAGUGGGUCCCACUCUUUGUUGGAAAGACAAUAUAUAUUCGAGCUUUUGGUGCCACAAAGGUGCUGUUCGUGCACCUUCUUGACUGUGAUGGAGAGCUCGUUUCGCUGAUCUAUGCUCCGAAACUGCAAAGAGAAAAGUGGAGACGCCAAAGUAAGCGCUAUCGCUCCAAUACCGCUGAAUCUGCUAUUCCGGUCGUCGACAACACAAUCUUUGGUUCACGGCUUUCCACGGGAAAGCCUGUUAUACAUGCCCAAGAUUGAAAAAGAACAAAAUAAAUCAGGUGAAUUCUCAAACAAAAAAAAUAUAUAUAUAUUUUUUUAAAAAUUAUAGAGUAUUUUUAUUUCAAAAAAUUCUCAUAAAGCAUCCCUCUCGUGCAAAGAUCAUUUUAUCUUUAUCUUCGCCAAACCUAUGGUUAGGUUCACCUUGUAUCAUUAUCUUCUCAUCUUGGAUUUAUCACUCGUAUCCCUUUAUGUAUCAUAGCCCUUGCAAGAGGGAGGAGGAGGCACAGAGGUAAUGAUGGGUUUAACAAGGGCCAACAAUGGUCCUUGUGCCACCUCCUUCCUUGUGUGAGGGUUAUAGGUGAGACGUAUGAGGGUGAGGGUGACGGGAUCCGUGGAGGCAAUGAAAGCCCUCGUGCCCCCUUCUUCCUUGCAUGAGAGCUGCAGAUGAGAUGCACAUGGGUGUGCCUAAGGGGGUCCAUGGAUGCAAUGACUCUUAUGCCCCCUUAUUUCUCGCACGAGGGUUACAAACGAGACAUGCAGGAGUAGGGUUGAUAGGGUCCUAUGAGGUAGCGGUAGCCCUUAUGCUCUAUCCUUCCUUGCAUGAGGGCUAUAAGCAGUGGGUUCAGUGAGGCAGAGGGGAGGUAAUGCAAGGAGGUGAUGGUGUAAGUCUGUAAAGGUGGCGACGGUCCUCGCUCCCCCUCCUUCCUUACAUAAGAGUCUCGAGCGAGGAUGGUAAGGGUGGUACGGGACGAUGUAAGGUGGAUGUGAUGAUAGAUCCGACGAGAUCAAAGGUAAAAUGAUCAUUUAUAUAAAAAAAAUACUUCGUGAAAAAUAUUAAAAAGUAGAGGUUUUUUAUAAGGAAAUCGCUCAAAAAUUUUAGACUUUAUUUGAUAGUUUUUGGCGAUGACGAGAAAAGAGGGAUCUCACGCUUUAAGACAUCCUCUCUGUACAUUUUUUUAAGUGCUUUUUGUCUUUUAAUACCGGGUAAAUUUUAUUAAAAAAAUCACGUUUUCUCUUUUUUGUUUUUUUCAACGGAAGAUUUCCUUUUCGAUUUAUUUUCAUAUGAAAUUGCCUUUACCUCCCUAUCGAUUCUCAUCUCUAUCCUACAUGACCACAUUUGCCACCUCUAGCCCAUCAUAAAGUCUUAUUACCCUCCCUUGCAUGCGGAUCAGACUAAAAAAGCAUGCCCCAACCCAUUUUUACUCAUUUCUUGUAUCUUAGUAUCGUUUAAUUAAGAGAGUAGACAUGCUUCUUGAACGUGGGAGCCAAGUAGCGGAGGAAGGGGAAGCCCCACCAUGGUCGAUUUUUUUUCCCUUGAUCUUUUUUUCUAGUUUAUCGAGGUCAAUUAUAAGAUGAAGAUAGGGCCUUAGUGGUGUCUCAACGGUAGGAAACGACGAUGAGAGCAAUGAGAUGGAAGCGAUGAUCGAUAGGACGAGAUUAAAAGAUAAUAUAAUCUUUUAAAAAAUAAAAAUUAUCAUGUGAAAAAAGUAAAAAAGAAAAAUUGUAAGACUUUUGUUUAGAGAAAUUGCCCUAUCCAAUAACUCAUCGGCCCAAGAUUUCUCGCCCCCCUCGUUCUCUCUCUAAGAGGAUACAAAUUUCACGUUUCAUCGGAAUCCCCACACGUGCAAAGUUCCAAACAUCUUAGCUUUCGUACUAACCGCUGUUGUUGUACUCCUCGCGCCGAAAAUUAUUUCCUGGGGUCGGGAGCCGCCACCCUACCUAGGGCGGUAGGCCCGCGCCGCAGGAGCGGUCGCCCCCAUCCCAACGACGAUGACUGGCGUGAGCUUCUCACGAGAACCCGGCGCUGCUGCCUCGGUCAUGCGUCGCCGGCGGCACGGAGCACGUAGGAGUAGCGUUGUGUUUGGGACAUCUGUUUCUUCUGCAUUUGUUUGUUUGACCUCUGCAGCCUCGUCGUCUCGGUCAGCGACGCCCCUUCCGGGGUUGAAAUGGCCUCUUCGUCAUGUCCAUCGAUCCUAAUGAGGCGGGCGCCGAUGUCAGUUGUUUCCUUUGGUUCGCCCGGCGAUUUAGUCCCACGCUAUUUCUUGCUUGGGACGCAAGUUUCGUUGACCACUGACCGUUGACCCAGCCGUUUGUACGUCAUCGUCGCGAUCAUCGUCAUCGUUGUUGCCAAAGAAAUUGCUCCAUAUAGGAGACUUAGCGGCGAAGAAAGAGCGAGCGUCGUGUAUGACAUGGAAACAUUCAUAGUCUCACGGCUAUAUCUAUGCGAAAAAUUAGAAGAAAGGCUUAUCGAUC
rnacentral:lncRNA from 1 species